GAAGCUCGCCAGGCCACCGCUGGUGCAAUUCUGGAAACAGAGCACUGGAGGAACGUCCGGACUGCACAGGGCAGCGUAGCAGCUAACGGCUGUCCACCGACAAGUCGGCCACGCCAGUGGCAGGCCCUAAGGUGAGGAUCAGAGCAACAGAGACGAGCCGAUUCAGUUCGGGUGAAACGGGCAAUCUCUACGCGCAGCAAUACCAAGUAGGCACACGUUGACGGGGCCCCCGGAGUGUGCGGGUAGGUAGCAUCGAGCCGUCCGGGUGACCGGCGGCCCAGAGUAAUGGUGGUCACAUGGGGGAAACCCCGUGCACAGAAUCCGGCUUAUCGGCGAGCUUCACAC
rnacentral:RNase_P_RNA from 1 species